ACAACCUCCCCUGGCUGGCCGGCCGACCGCCGGACACCUCGGCACACAGCGAAGACGUCACAGGCCCGCGACGGAAACGUCCACCGCCCUACACCCCCUCGGAAAGAGCGAGUUCCAGUGACCAAUCAGAGUGAAAAGCACCAUAUCUUAAUCUAUUGGGCCUUCAUGGAGAGUUUGGAUACUGAACCCAGCAAAAGAAAAAGUUGUUCAAGGCUUCAACAGUUUCUCACCAAAAAAGCUGGUCCACUAAAAGAUACUGCUUUGUUUACAUAUUAACUCACUGAGAGCUGCACCGAUAUCCCAGAGGGAGGAAGGCAAUUCUUCCAGGCCUCUCGUGUGAGGAUUCUGUCUGCUAUCAAGCCAGUCUGUGAGAAGAACCGUGGGGCAAGAGCAAACCUGUCUUCUUGAUCCAGCUUUAGUUAUUUGCCCCAUUUCUGGACUGGCUUGGGGGAUAACAGCUCGCUCUCUGCCCCAAGAUAACCAGAACUGCUAUUGGAAGAGAGGAAAGACAGGAGCCUCAAGGCUCCUGAGAGGAUCCUAACUGCCAUCAUGCCGCUGCCGCUGCCCCUCCCCCCCAGCAAAAGUAGGCAUCAGGUGUAGGUUGGCAAUCUUGGUUUGUUCUAGGGUGAUAGAGCAGCUACAUGUGGAAGCCUCCUCUGCUGAAACUGAAAACAGUGUUAAUCAUAAAUGUAUUAAAUGGUUGAAAUACAUACAUAAUUUGGGCAUGAUCUAGCUAGAGUUAAGCACUUUUCAGAGCGAGGCUUCAAUGGCAGACAUUUUAGUAUAUGAUUGACUGAUUGAAAUAAACAGGUUUAAAGUGUG